CCUGGGCCUUUUUAUAGUACCGUACCGCCGCGCCCAGAUUAGCUAGCUAGCUAGAGCCCCAAGUACCAUACCAAAGCAAAGCGGAUAUGUCUAGAUCUAGAUCUUUGUUGAUUUCAUUGACUGGAUCAGUGGUACUUUUAGGAUGGUGCUUCAUUGUUGAUGUGUCUAGUCAAGAGAUCACCUUAGUAUCGUCUCUUCAGGCAACAAACAGGACAUAUGUUUGUCCUGAUGAGAUUGCUACGUAUGUUUGCAGAGGUGGUGGAAAUGCGAUUGACCUAUUUGCACCACCAUUUAUUUCUUCAAACAAUCCUAUAUCAUACGUGUUAGGAGACGUUCUAGGAACUGAAUUUGUCACAGGCCCAAUUUUGACCAACCUUACUUCGACGGCAGAUUCCAUAAUGAUAGCGAACAUUAUAGUGCAAAAUUCUACUUUGCAACAGUUUUCAAUUAACUGUGCAGUACGCUCACCUCUCCAAGAAAUUGAAACCCUGUACAGACUUUCAGAGCGUCCUUUGGAUGUGAGUUCUCAAGAAAUAAAUCCAAAUCCCGCCGAUAGUACUGUGCAAGUUACUUGGAUGCAAGCACUUGGAAAUUAUGAUCUUAGUUAUUAUACGGUGCAGCUUUUUGAGAAUAAUGCUGCAACUCGGUCGACUGUUGUUCCUGCAGAAAGCAACCUAAUAGCAGUAUUCUCUGUACCUCCAAAUGUGCAAGUCCGUGCAAGGAUAACAGUGACCUCUAAAUGUGCCCAGACAAGCACUGGAGUUUCCACCAGCAACAUAACUACCACAAGUGUAACUCAAUUGCAAGAUAAUACACUAGAAAACGUGUUCCUGGGACUUCUUUCAGCAGCAACAUUUAUCUUGGCAAUAGUUGUGAUUGUACUAGGUGUAUGCCUCUGCACUAAAAACUGUUGAUAUCACUGAGUGUCUUUUCAGUGUUGUAUACUGUUUGUUUUAUUACACUUAGAAUUACACUUAGAAUUUAGUAUGUAGGAGCUGAACAUUCUUUUUGUGCUGUAUAUACGUCAGUGUUGUAUACUGUGUGUUUUAUUAGAGUGUAUGAUUGAUGAACAUGUGUAUAAAAAUAUUUUUCGUGUCAA